rnacentral:rRNA from 1 species
GUGAGGAAUAUUGGACAAUGGGCGCAAGCCUGAUCCAGCCAUGCCGCGUGCAGGAAGACGCAUCUAUGGUGUGUAAACUGCUUUUGUACGGGAAGAAACACUCCCUCGUGAGGGAGCUUGACGGUACCGUAAGAAUAAGGAUCGGCUAACUCCGUGCCAGCAGCCGCGGUAAUACGGAGGAUCCAAGCGUUAUCCGGAAUCAUUGGGUUUAAAGGGUCCGUAGGCGGUUAAAUAAGUCAGUGGUGAAAGCCCAUCGCUCAACGAUGGAACGGCCAUUGAUACUGUUAGACUUGAAUUACAAGGAAGUAACUAGAAUAUGUAGUGUAGCGGUGAAAUGCUUAGAUAUUACAUGGAAUACCAAUUGCGAAGGCAGGUUACUACUUGUGGAUUGACGCUGAUGGACGAAAGCGUGGGGAGCGAACAGGAUUAGAAACCCCAGUAGUCC